GAGUUUGAUCUUGGCUCAGAACGAACGCUGGCGGCAGGCUUAACACAUGCAAGUCGAACGCGUGUAGCAAUACACGAGUGGCGCACGGGUGAGUAACACGUGGAUAUCUGCCUUUUGGUUCGGAAUAACCCUGGGAAACUAGGGCUAAUACCGAAUGGUUCCUACGGGAUAAAGAUUUAUCGCCAAAAGAUGAGUCCGCGUCCGAUUAGCUAGUUGGCGGGGUAAUGGCCCACCAAGGCGACGAUCGGUAGCUGGUCUGAGAGGACGAUCAGCCACACUGGGACUGAGACACGGCCCAGACUCCUACGGGAGGCAGCAGUGGGGAAUAUUGGACAAUGGGGGCAACCCUGAUCCAGCCAUGCCGCGUGAGUGAUGAAGGCCUUC
rnacentral:rRNA from 1 species